rnacentral:rRNA from 1 species
CCUACGGGGGGCAGCAGUGGGGAAUAUUGGACAAUGGGGGGAACCCUGAUCCAGCCAUGCCGCGUGUGUGAAGAAGGCCCUCGGGUUGUAAAGCACUUUCAGUGAGGAAGAACGCCUGGUGGUUAAUACCCAUCAGGAAAGACAUCACUCACAGAAGAAGCACCGGCUAACUCCGUGCCAGCAGCCGCGGUAAUACGGAGGGUGCGAGCGUUAAUCGGAAUUACUGGGCGUAAAGCGCGCGUAGGUGGCUUGAUAAGCCGGUUGUGAAAGCCCCGGGCUCAACCUGGGAACGGCAUCCGGAACUGUCAAGCUAGAGUGCAGGAGAGGAAGGUAGAAUUCCCGGUGUAGCGGUGAAAUGCGUAGAGAUCGGGAGGAAUACCAGUGGCGAAGGCGGCCUUCUGGACCGAAACUGACACUGAGGUGCGAAAGGGUGGGUAGCCAACAGGAUUAGAUACCCGAGUAGUC